GAAACCGAAAAGUACAAUUUUUAUGCCUACGUAUUGCUAGGUGGCUGUGGUGCCAUACCAAGAUUGAAAUCUGCUGUCUUAAGUAAGGAAGAUGAGAGGAGGAAUUACUGUCCUCCUGGGACCACUGUGAGUUAUGUCUGUCGUCCAGGAUAUGAGAGCACUGAACUGAGACCUGUCAUUACUUGUCUUGAGAAUUCAACAUGGUCAGAAGCCCCUGAGUUCUGUAGAGGGAAAUCUUGUGGUGUUCCAAAAGGACCAGAGCAUGGCAGAGCUGUUGAUA